GACGAACGCUGGCGGCGUGCUUAACACAUGCAAGUCGAACGGUGAAGCGCCUUCCUUUUUGGUGGGUGUGGAUGAGUGGCGAACGGGUGAGUAACGCGUGAGUAACCUGCCCCCUUCUUCUGGAUAACCGCAUGAAAGUGUGGCUAAUACGGGAUAUUCUGGGUCUGUCGCAUGAUGGGUCUGGGAAAGAUAUUGUUUCGGUGGGGGAUGGGCUCGCGGCCUAGCAGCUUGUUGGUGGGGUGAUGGCCUACGAAGGCGGUGACGGGUAGUCGGCCUGAGAGGGUGGACGGUCACACUGGGACUGAGACCCCGCCCAGCCUCCUACGGGAGGAAGCAGUGGGGAUUAGUGAUCGAUGGGAGCAAGACGGAUGCAGGGAGGGCGCGUGAGGGCUGGCGGCGUUCGGGUUGUGAACGUCUUUCGCGAGUGAAGCAGGCCUGCCUAGUUUGUAGGUGGGUUGACGGUAGCUGGAUAAGAAGCGACGGCUAACUACGUG
rnacentral:rRNA from 1 species